rnacentral:lncRNA from 10 species
CAGGAGAUGCCCUGGGAAGCGGAUUGCUUCAGCUAUUGGCGACAAUUCCUUCUUCAUCUGGAAAUUCAUAGGCUUGAUAAACUAUCACUAGUGUUUCUAGAAGAUGGUAACAUGUGACCUUGGUCAUUUCAUCCCAGAGAAAGUUUAUUAUAAGUUACAACAAACGAAGAAUAUGUAAAAAACAAAAUGUUCUGCAAAACAUUGUUUUAUUAUGAGAAAUUAUACAGGGCUCUUACUUUUUAAUAUUUUUAUGACAGUAGAGGAAGCCUGCUGCUUCUCAGUAAGGAUCCCAAACAAUAAAAGCUGGACUUGCCUGUUGCCACUAGUCCAUUAUCCCAAACCGUGGGUAGGCCGCUUGUCAUCUGCCUCUCUAUGACAGAAAGGGGGAUGUAUGUGCCACUUCAGCUUUUUAAUCAAAUGAAGGAAACCAUAUAAGCAAAGGGUUGAGGAAACAGUGUAGGUACUUAUGAUACUAUUAUUUAACAUCUAGUAUUAUUUAACAUCUAUUAUUCAGUGAGCCAUGACUGUGCCACUGCAAUUCUGCCUGGGUGACAGAGCAAGAUGCUAUCUCAAAAAAAAAAAAAAAAGGCCGGGUGCAGUGGCUCACGCCUGUAAUCCCAGCACUUCUUUGGGAGGCCGAGGCGGGUGGAUCACGAGGUCAGGAGAUCGAGACCAUCCUGGCUAACACGGUGAAACCCCAUCUCUACUAAAAAUACAAAAAAUUAGCCGGGCGUAGUGGCAGGCGCCUGUAGUCCCAGCUACUGGGGAGGCUGAGGCAGGAGAAUGGCAUGAACCCAGGAGGCGGAGCUUGCAGUAAGCUGAGAUCGCGCCACUGCACUCCAGCCUGGAGGACAGAGCGAGACUCUGUCUCAAAAAAAAAAAAAAAAAUUUCCCCCCAAUAAAUGUAUAACCCAUAAAUUCAAUUUAAUCUUAAUUAAAAUUUCCAGUGGCUCUUUGAUGAAGUUAACAAGAAUAGGGCCUUGCCCUACUAGAUAUCCAGUCUUAGAACAGACAAAUAAAGCAAUGGAAGUGUUGUGGGGGCAUUUUAAAGGGAGAAAAUAAAGGAUGAAAGAUGGCCUUUAAGCUGGGAAGAAGGAAGUAAGGUUUAUACACACAGCAGAAUAUUAUUCAGCCUUUAAAAAGAAGGAAAUUCUGACACAUGCUACACCAUAAGGUGGAUGAAUCUUGAGAACAUUAUAUAAAGUAAAGUAAAAUAAGCCAGUCACGAAAGGACAGAUAUUUAUAAUUUCACUUAUGAGGUACCUCGAGUCAUCAAAUUUAUAGAAACAAAAUACACUGGUGGUUGUCAGGGGAUGGGGGAUGGGAGAAUCAGGAGUUAUUGUUUCCAUGUGUGGUGACUGAAAAAGUUCUGUUGAUAAAAAGUGGGGAUGUUUGUAUAAAAAUGUGAAUGUACUUAAUACCAGUGAAUUGUACGCUAAAAAAGGGUUAAGAUGGUAAAGUUUAUGUAAUGUGUAUCUUAUCACAAUUUAAAAUUUUUAAAAAUAUAAAUGACAGGAAAAUAUUAACUGAAGUUAAGGCAACAUUUAUUUGAUUUCCUUAUAAUCAUAUUAUCUAAGGCAGAAGUGGUGGUUACUU